rnacentral:lncRNA from 1 species
UCACUAAGCAACAAGGAAAGAGAAACACUCGGAUUCAAAAUAAACAGCAUACACGUCCGAACAUUCACAAGUGAACGUACCUGACGUCACCAUGUUCGAUGUGAUAGCCUCCUGCUGAAUCAGGGUGAAGAUCCGAGCUAAAGCUAACGGAACUUCCCUCGGGAACCUGCUAAUGGAAAGGCCAACCCUUUCCUCUGCCUCAACCACCACCUAAUCCCAGACUAAACUGAAAUCUCCUCCUGAACGUACACUUAUUCGUACUCUUUUCUUUCUCU